rnacentral:rRNA from 1 species
CGUGCCAGCAGCCGCGGUAAUACGUAGGGUGCGAGCGUUAAUCGGAAUUACUGGGCGUAAAGCGUGCGUAGGCGGCAUGGUCAGUCGGAUGUGAAAGCCCCGGGCUUAACCUGGGAAUUGCAUUCGAUACUGCCAAGCUAGAGUAUGUUAGAGGAAAGUGGAAUUCCCGGUGUAGCGGUGAAAUGCGUAGAUAUCGGGAGGAACAUCAGUGGCGAAGGCGACUUUCUGGAUCAAUACUGACGCUGAGGUACGAAAGCGUGGGGAGCAAACAGGAUUAGAUACCCU